CAGUAGCCACGGGAAUACGAAGGGCCCGAGCGUUGUUCGGAAUCACUGGGCGUAAAGGGAGCGUAGGCGGCGUGGUAAGUCAGAUGUGAAAUCCCGGGGCUCAACCCCGGAACUGCAUCCGAUACUGCCAUGCUAGAGGAUUGGAGAGGUAGCUAGAAUUCUUGGUGUAGCAGUGAAAUGCGUGGAGAUCAAGAGGAACACUCGUGGCGAAAGCGAGCUACUGGACAAUAACUGACGCUGAGGCUCGAAGGCCAGGGUAGCGAAAGGGAUUAGAUACCCGUGUAGUCCCUGUCUCUUAUAC
rnacentral:rRNA from 1 species